GGGAGCUCUCCCAUAUGGUCGACCUGCAGGCGGCCGCGAAUUCACUAGUGAUUAGAGUUUGAUCAUGGCUCAGAACGAACGCUGGCGGCAUGCCUAACACAUGCAAGUCGAACGAGAUCUUCGGAUCUAGUGGCGCACGGGUGCGUAACGCGUGGGAAUCUGCCCUUGGGUUCGGAAUAACAGUGAGAAAUUACUGCUAAUACCGGAUGAUGUCUUCGGACCAAAGAUUUAUCGCCCAGGGAUGAGCCCGCGUAGGAUUAGGUAGUUGGUGGGGUAAUGGCCUACCAAGCCGACGAUCCUUAGCUGGUCUGAGAGGAUGAUCAGCCACACUGGGACUGAGACACGGCCCAGACUCCUACGGGAGGCAGCAGUGGGGAAUAUUGGACAAUGGGCGAAAGCCUGAUCCAGCAAUGCCGCGUGAGUGAUGAAGGCCUUAGGGUUGUAAAGCUCUUUUACCAGGGAUGAUAAUGACAGUACCUGGAGAAUAAGCUCCGGCUAACUCCGUGCCAGCAGCCGCGGUAAUACGAAUCGAAUUCCCGCGGCCGCCAUGGCGGCCGGGAGCA
rnacentral:rRNA from 1 species